AGGUGCAGACCCAAUCGCGUCAAACAACUUGUUAAAGAGCAAAAACUUAGCGCAACCUGGAGUCUUACCUUCGGUUGGGGCGACCACGGAGGAAAAAGCAGCCUCCGCGAGGACCGGGAAUAUAUCCUGAAGUUGAGAGGGACACCUCUAAACCACAGUACAUCUGACCAAUUAUGAUCCGGACAGAAAGUCCGAUCAACGAACCAAGUUACCCUAGGGAUAACAGCGCAAUCCUCUCCCAGAGUCCAUAUCGACGAGGGGGUUUACGACCUCGAUGUUGGAUCAGGACAUCCUAAUGGUGCAGCCGCUAUUAAG
rnacentral:rRNA from 1 species